AGUGAACGCUGGCGGCAGGCCUAACACAUGCAAGUCGAACGAACCUACCGGGGGUAGUGGCGGAUGGGGGAGGCGCACGUCGGAACGUGCCUUUAGGCUCGGAAUAACUCUGGGACACGUGUGCUAACACCGAAUGUGCCCUUCGGGGGCAAGAUUAAUCGCACUUAGAGGGGCCCGUGUCUGCUUAGCUAGUUGAGUGAGGUAAAGGCUCACCCGGGCGACGUUCAGUAGCUGGUCAGGGAGGAAGAGCCGCCACUUUGGGACUGGGACACAGUCCAGACUCCUACGGGAUGCGGCAGUGGGUGAUCUUGCGCAAUCGGCGGAAUGCUGAAGCAGCCCUGGUGCGUGAAUGCUGUUGGUCUGAGAGUUGAAAAGUUCUUUCACCGGGGGCGGUAAUGACGGUACCCAGAGAAGAAGCCCCGGCUAACUUCGUG
rnacentral:rRNA from 1 species